rnacentral:rRNA from 1 species
CGUUAGCGGCGGACGGGUGAGUAACACGUGGAUAACCUACCUAUAGGACUGGGAUAACGUUCGGGAAACCGGAGCUAAUACCGGAUAAUAUAUUGAACCGCAUGGUUCAAUAGUGAAAGACGGUUUUGCUGUCACUUAUAGAUGGAUCCGCGCCGCAUUAGCUAGUUGGUAAGGUAACGGCUUACCAAGGCAACGAUGCGUAGCCGACCUGAGAGGGUGAUCGGCCACACUGGAACUGAGACACGGUCCAGACUCCUACGGGAGGCAGCAGUAGGGAAUCUUCCGCAAUGGGCGAAAGCCUGACGGAGCAACGCCGCGUGAGUUAUGAAGGUCUUCGGAUCGUAAAACUCUGUUAUUAGGGAAGAACAAAUGUGUAAGUAACUAUGCACGUCUUGACGGUACCUA